rnacentral:lncRNA from 1 species
UGUAUCAUCUCUAAACAGAUCUGGGGGCCAGGCUAUCUUGUAUCAUCUCUAAACACAUCCAGGGGCCCAGGCUAUCUUGUAUCAUCUCUAAACAGAUCUGGGGGCCAGGCUAUCUUGUAUCAUCUCUAAACAGAUCCAGGGGGCCCAGGCUAUCUUGUUUCAUCUCUAAACAGAUCCGGGGGCCCAGCUAUCUUGUAUCAUCUCUAAACACAUCCAGGUGGCCAGGCUAUCUUAUAUCAUCUCUAAACACAUCCAGGGCCCAGGCUAUCUUGUAUCAUCUCUAAACACAUCGCGGUGGCCAGGCUAUCUUCUCUAAACACAUCCAGGGGCCAGGCUAUAUCUUGUAUCAUCUCUACCAGGGGCCCAGGCUAUCUUCUAUCAUCUCUAAACUCCAAGCACAAAUUGUAACCGUUUCAAUAUCUCAUAUGCGGCCGUGUCAUCGGCACGUAAAUAAUAUGUGAAAGUAUAAAAACACUGUAAUAGUUGGCUUGAUUGAUUAGGAACAAACAGAAGCAAGAAAGAGCCAUUCCAGUUUUAUUUGAGGUCAAAUCAGCCAACAUAAGGCUAGGUAGAAGGACACCACAGUCCCAACAGCCAACACAGGCUGUUAGAAGACACCACAGUCCCAACACGCAACACAAGGUAGGUAAAGGACACCACAGUCCCAUCAGCCAACACAAG